GGAAAAGGUCAUGUAAAAGUGGCCUCUCCCCCAGCUGGGGGCACAGCCCACACUGAGAAGGCCCAGCCCAGCUGGACUUUUAUGAGUUCUUCAGCUUUGGGACCCUUGGACCUUUGGCCACAGACUUAAGUCUGCAGUCGGCUCCCCUACUUCUGAGGUUUUGGGACUCAAACUGGCUUCCUUGCUCCUCAACUUGCAGAUGGCCUAUUGUGGGACCUCACCUUGUGAUCGUGUGCGUCAAUUCUCCUUAAUAAACUCUCCUUUAGAUACACAUCUAGCCUAUUAGUUCUGUCCCUCUAGAGAACCCUAAUACAGUGUGUAUGUAUGUGGUUUGUGUAUGCGUGUAUAUAUGUGUGUGUGUGUGUCUGUGUGUAUGUCUGUGUGUGUGUCUGUGUGUGGCAGGCCACGUCUCACUAACGGCUGAACAGGCAGGCCUCUGUAACAACUGUUUCAGCACUGACUAAGUGGUUAAGUUAAAUAUUAAAAGCCUAGAGAGCCAGUCCCCUUAUACAAA
rnacentral:lncRNA from 1 species